AUUGAACGCUGGCGGCAGGCCUAACACAUGCAAGUCGAACGAGUGGCGGACGGGUGAGUAAUGUCUGGGAAACUGCCCGCUGGAGGGGGAUAACUACUGGAAACGGUACCUAAUACCGCAUACCAUCGGAUGUGCCCAGAUGGGAUUAGCUAGUAGGUGGGGUAAUGGCUCACCUAGGCGACGAUCCCUAGCUGGUCUGAGAGGAUGACCAGCCACACUGGAACUGAGACACGGUCCAGACGCCUACGGGAGGCAGCAGUGGGGAAUAGUGCACAAUUGGCUCAAGCCUGAUGCAGCCAUGCCGCGUGUAUGAAGAAGGCCUUCGGGUUGUAAAGUACUUUCAGCGGGGAGGCGUUACCCGCAGAAGAAGCACCGGCUAACGCCGUGCCAGCAGCCGCGGUAAUAC
rnacentral:rRNA from 1 species